GGCUUUCUGUGAAGAUGUAUCUGCAAGGCUUGUUAUUAUUGACAGUCAAGAAAAGUUGGAGUUUCUUGAAUCCAAAGUAUCAGGGUUUUAUCAUUGGAUCGGCGCUACUUGUACCUCUGGCACGAACUGCAAAUGGGUUGAUGGCAGAAGCGUUGAUUCUGGUUUCACGGCAUGGGCGCCCGGCGAGCCCCUUGGUAAUGAUUGUGUAUGGAUUGGUUACAGGGUAAACAAAUGGGAUGAUUGUUCCUGUGACAGUUCCGCUAAACCUCUGUGCGAAUACAUUUAACAAAUCAAAUCCUACAUACGUGUAAGGAUGUAUUUACGUUAACAGUUUUCGAUACAAAUGUGACCUAUAAUAGGAAAACGAAUAAUUUAAAACAAAGGUAAUUUUGAAACUACUAAGCUAAGUUAAUGACUUCAUCUUUAUGACUAUCGGCCUGAAAAUGGUUGUUAUAAGACGCUUUGGUUUAUAUUAUUAUUUUUACUCAACACAAGCCAUGUGAAAAUCUGAUCAUUUGAAUUAAAUUUAUAGGAGAAAAUAUUUAAUACAAUUGAUUGUUUUCUUCUCCUCUCAAAACAAUGUAUUUUGAUGACAUUUUAAU